AUCACAGGUUUUAACUGGAUUUCGAAAACCUAGUGUUACAGAAACCAAUGAAGUAGGAAGAAAAAUCCAGUUCUGAACAGUCAUUGAAUCACCAAAUAUCUACUUUUGCAAGGAACUUCUGACACUCAUUUUGUGAAUCUCAUUGUUUAAGAAGAGUACUAUAAGACUUAGAGUGAGUUUGGUCAAGCUGCUUAGAAUUCAGGAAAGAAAACUUGACCUUGAUAUUUAAGUAUCAAGUAUUUAAGGAUAUGAACCUAAUGGAUCAUAUAACUAGAUUCUGGGAGGGUUUAAAGAAUUGAGAAGCAGGCCACUAGUUCAGUAUGUGUAAUGGAUGGUAGAAAAUUCACCAAGUAUAGUGAAUUCAUAAAAUAAAAUUGACCAAAUAUAGUGAAAUAAGUAUUUGGUAAUUUUAAUUAUGUAACUCACUCUCUUUAAAAACUUGCACUAUAAUUCUCAUUUAUAGUUCACUCAUUUGAACUGUACAAUUCAAUGGUUUUUAGUGUAUUCAUGAAGUUGUUGAAUAUUGCCACAGUCUAGUUUUAGAACAUUUUGUCACUAUAAAAACAAAACCUCUUACAUGUUAGCAAUCAUUCCCCAUUCCUUACCACCACCACCCUAAGUCCUAGGUAACCAUAUAUUUAUUCUCUGCCUCUCUAUAUAUGCGUAUCCUGGAUAUUUCAUAUAACUAUGACUGAAUUCUUAGCAUAAUGGUUUUAAGAGUCACCCUUGUGGCAUAUGUCAGUACUUCAUUUCUAUUGUCAAAUCUUCAGUUGUAUGAGUAUUACACAUUUAUCCAUUCAUCAGUUGAUGCACAUUGUGUUUCCUAUUUUUGACUAUGAUGAGUAAUGUUGCUCUGAAAUUCAUGUCCAGGUUUUUGGGUGGACAAAUGAUUUCAGUUUUC
rnacentral:lncRNA from 1 species